ensembl:ncRNA F35E8.19 ncRNA
CUCACAUGCAACAUUUGGGCAGUUGUAACCAGAAGUCUGACAACAUAAUCCGCAAGUUCUUGGGCAUGUGCUCUGAGCUGCAUUCUUCAUGUCUUGAACUACAGCAGCUGGAGUCGCGGUAGCAGUCGUAUAACAAGCCAAUGG